CCUACGGGUGGCAGCAGUGAGGAAUAUUGGUCAAUGGGCGGGAGCCUGAACCAGCCAAGUCGCGUGAGGGAAGACGGUCCUAUGGGUUGUAAACCUCUUUAGGCGGGGAGCAACGCCGGUCACGAGUGCCGCGAGGGAGAGUACCCGCAGAAUAAGCAUCGGCAAACUCCGUGCCAGCAGCCGCGGUAAUACGGAGGAUGCGAGCGUUAUCCGGAUUUAUGGGGUUAAAGGGGGCGUAGGCGGAUUUUUAAGUCAGCGGUAAAAUGUCCGGGCUCAACCCGGGCCCGCCGUUGAAACUGGCGUUCUUGAGUGGGCGAGAAGUAUGCGGAAUGCGUGGUGUAGCGGUGAAAUGCAUAGAUAUCACGCAGAACUCCGAUUGCGAAGGCAGCAUACCGGCGCCCGACUGACGCUGAAGCACGAAAGCGUGGGUAUCGAACAGGAUUAGAUACCCCGGUAGUC
rnacentral:rRNA from 1 species